CCCGCCCGUUACCCUGGCGACAGUCCCUGCCGCCCCUUCGCCCCGCGGCGGGCUCCCCGGACCUGCGGCCAUGAGGGAUCCAAACACAUAAAGACAAACUGGCUGGCCUAAAACCACACAGGAAAAAGGCAAUAGCCCAAUUAAUGGGACUGCAAAGCCAGCAGCAAGACUGCCCUGAGGCUGACCGGCCACAGGAAAGGAAUUCAGGAUGUAAUACCUGCUACACAUCUAGGCCUCCUUAAUCCGAAGGCUGAGCUCCUAAAUGUUCUCUAGGGUAGAGAGCAAUUGCGAACCUACCUAACUUCAAGGAGUCUGCCUUCCUGUUCUAAGUGUAAGGAGUGGGUUUCAUCUGAUAUAACCCAAUGAUGCAGUUCGUCUCCAGAAUGAAUGAGUCAUGGAUUUAGUCCUUACAUUGAGUUCAACACCUUACACUCAUCUCUCUGCUCAAAGGCGGCUAAAUCGGUUCGUGGAAUGGCACCGAUCCACAGACCACAGUUUGAGCAGCACUGAUUUAAACAAGGCUUGACUACUCUGCAGCCAUCUCAACAACUGAAAAACUAGUUUUUGUUGCUGUUUCUUUCCAUUUUUUUUUCUUUUUGCUUAUCAUGUUAGUGGAAUUUCCAAUGCUUGAUGAUAAUUUUUAAAGAAACUCUUUGUUUCAAGGUAAACCACACUUUCCCCACCCGAGAGAUAAGGGGGAAAGCUUCCUUCAAAGACCGACCUAUAAAAAGUACAUAAAGAAUGAAAGAAAGAAAUAUAAAAUAUAACACCAAGCUGAGGGGGAAGAAAAUGAGGCUAAGGCUAUGCUUGCAAAGGAGGAUCACAAAUGGUCAAAAAGUUGCUUUCAGAGGAAAACUAUGACUCAUAAGAUAGCUACAAAAAGAGUAUCUAACUGUGUGGAUCCACAUAGAUACAGAAUGCAGAAAUCUAUUUUUAUAGAAUUGUUCUUUCUGUCACUGU